CCCUGGGUGGUGGAGCCAGGUAAUAUAUUUGGCUGCUAACCAAAAGUUGGAAGUUCAAGUCUACCCAGAGGCA
rnacentral:tRNA from 1 species